UACGUAGGGUGCGAGCGUUGUCCGGAAUUACUGGGCGUAAAGCGCGUGUAGGCUGCUUGGCAAGUCGGAUGUGAAAGCCCUGGGACCUCAACCCAGGAAGUGCAUUCGAAACUGCCGAGCUGGAGUCCCGGAGAGGAAGGCGGAAUUCUCGGUGUAGAGGUGAAAUUCGUAGAUAUCGAGAGGAACAUCGGUGGCGAAGGCGGCCUCUGGACGGUGACUGGAC
rnacentral:rRNA from 1 species